AUGUUUUCCAGAGAGAAUGCAAGGGAGGGAGUAUUCCAAAGCAUACAGUGUGACCAGAGAAAAAGGGGGAAUUAACAGCAAAAGGGCAGAAAACGGAUUGAACACUUACAGGAGGUGCAAACAGUAGCACAGAUGGCAGUACAGAGGAGAGCAAGAGAAGAUGUCCCCACCAGUGUGCCUCCAGUUGUUGCAAAACUACAACUCCCAGCAUGCAGCAUGUAGUUGGAAGCAACAAUGGUUGGCUAAUACAGUAGACAACGUAUGACAUUGAGUUCAUGCUUCAGAUGCCUACCUUACUUUUCCUUAAAACCCCUCCUGCUUGAUGGGAAAUGGAACAAGAGCCAGAGUAUGACUGAGAAUGACAACUAAGCGAAAAC